rnacentral:misc_RNA from 1 species
GAUGAAGAACGCAGCGAAAUGCGAUAAGUAAUGUGAAUUGCAGAAUUCAGUGAACCAUCGAAUCUUUGAACGCACAUUGCGCCCGCCAGUAUUCUGGCGGGCAUGCCUGUUCGAGCGUCAUUUCAACCAUCAAGCCCCCGGCUUGUGUUGGGGACCUGCGGCUGCCGCAGGCCCUGAAAACCAGUGGCGGGCUCGCUAGUCACUCCGAGCGUAGUAAUACAUCUCGCUCAGGGCGUGCUGCGGGUUCCGGCCGUUAAAAAGCCUUAUUUACCCAAGGUUGACCUCGGAUCAGGUAGGAAGACCCGCUGAACUUAAGCAUAUCAAUAAGCGGAGGA